rfam:Dictyocaulus viviparus strain HannoverDv2000 D_viviparus-1.0_Cont428.8, whole genome shotgun sequence.
CCAACGGCCCUCUUUAGGGCCACAAUCUCAGUCGAAUACUUUCAGU